GUAGGUGGCAAGCGUUGUCCGGAAUUAUUGGGCGUAAAGCGCGCGCAGGUGGGUCUUUAAGUCUGAUGUGAAAGCCCCCGGGCUCAACCGGGGAGGGUCAUUGGAAACUGGGGAACUUGAGUGCAGGAGAGGAAAGUGGAAUUCCACGUGUAGCGGUGAAAUGCGUAGAUAUGUGGAGGAACACCAGUGGCGAAGGCGACUUUCUGGCCUGUAACUGACACUGAGGCGCGAAAGCGUGGGGAGCAAACAGGAUUAGAUACCCUGGUAGUCCACGCCGUAAACGAUGAGUGCUAAGUGUUGGGGGGGUUUCCGCCCCUCAGUGCUGCAGCUAACGCAUUAAGCACUCCGCCUGGGGAGUACGGUCGCAAAGACUG
rnacentral:rRNA from 1 species